rnacentral:rRNA from 1 species
UACGGGGGGGGCAAGCGUUGUUCGGAAUUACUGGGCGUAAAGGGCGCGUAGGCGGCCUGCUAAGUCGAACGUGAAAUCCCCGGGCUCAACCCGGGAACUGCGUCCGAGACUGGCGGGCUUGAAUCCGGGAGAGGGAUGCGGAAUUCCAGGUGUAGCGGUGAAAUGCGUAGAUAUCUGGAGGAACACCGGUGGCGAAGGCGGCAUCCUGGACCAUUACUGACGCUGAGGCGCGAAAGCUAGGGGAGCAAACGGG